rnacentral:rRNA from 1 species
UAAGUAGGCGGUGGAAAAUGAACCAAAUGGGAUUCCUUAAGUAAUUGCGAAUGAACAAGGAAAUGCUCAGCUUGAAAAAUGGGGCCUUCGGCUUUGAAUUGUAAUUUUGAAAUGUAUUGCCAAUGGAGGCGCAGGUGCAAGCCUAUUGAAAGAAAGCGUCAAUGAGGGUGAGAUUCCUUUUUGUCAUUUGCAGUCCUCCGUGCACGGUAUAUAUUUGACGAGUCACACUCCUCGGCAUUGGAAUGCAAAGUGGGUGGUAAAUUCCAUGUAAAGGUAAAUAUAUUAUUGAGACUGAUAGCAAACAAGUACCAUGAGGGAAAUAUGAAAAGGACUUUGAAAAGAGAAUUAAAAGAGUCUGCAUUUGCUGAACAGAAAGCAAACAGAAUUGAUCUUGCCUGGUGAGAUUGUUGCGUCUACUUCUGCAUUUCUAUGUUGGAUGUGGGUGCGAUGGUUCUUGCCUUGAAUGUCAGCUUCUUUUUCUGCAAAUCAUUACCCUUGCACAUGAAUGGUAAUUUGCCUGCGGGUAUUGGAAUGCAUGUGUUUGCCAUGAUUUGUGAUUUGAUACAUGUGUCUGGUGGUACUUGUGUGUGUUCCUUUGUCAAAGGGGAAGGUUUGCUUCCUUGAGCACCACAAGCCCUUGCACAAUGUUGCUGGCAAAUGUUUCUGCUUGACCCG